GAUUUACUAUAACUGUCAGCUAAAUGGCGCACGGGUGAGUAAUAUAUAGGUAACGUGCCCUAGAGAGGGGGAUAACAUUUGGAAACGAAUGCUAAUACCCCAUAUGCCUUUAAGUCUUAAGACUGCAAGGGAAAUAUUUAUAGCUCUAGGAUCGGCCUGUGCGGUACCAGUUUGUUGGUGAGGCAAUGGCUCACCAAGACUAUGACGCCUAACUGGUUUGAGAGGAUGAUCAGUCACACUGGAACUGAGACACGGUCCAGACUCCUACGGGAGGCAGCAGUGGGGAAUAUUGCACAAUGGACGAAAGUCUGAUGCAGCAACGCCGCGUGGAGGAUGACACAUUUCGGUGCGUAAACUCCUUUUAUAUAGGAAGAUAAUGACGGUACUAUAUGAAUAAGCACCGGCUAACUCCGUGCCAGCAGCCGCGGUAAUACGGAGGGUGCAAGCGUUACUCGGAAUCACUGGGCGUAAAGAGCGUGUAGGCGGGUUUGUAAGUUUGAAGUGAAAUCCAAUGGCUCAACCAUUGAACUGCUUUGAAAACUGCUUACCUAGAAUAUGGGAGAGGUAGAUGGAAUUUCUGGUGUAGGGGUAAAAUCCGUAGAGAUCAGAAGGAAUACCGAUUGCGAAGGCGAUCUACUGGAACAUUAUUGACGCUGAGACGCGAAAGCGUGGGGAGCAAACAGGAUUAGAUACCCUGGUAG
rnacentral:rRNA from 1 species